UACGAAGGGGGCUAGCGUUGUUCGGAAUUACUGGGCGUAAAGCGCGCGCAGGCGGUCUUCCAAGUCAGUGGUGAAAGCCUGGAGCUCAACUCCAGAACUGCCAUUGAAACUGUUAGACUUGAGUACGAGAGAGGUGAGUGGAAUUCCCAGUGUAGAGGUGAAAUUCGUAGAUAUUCGGAGGAACACCAGUGGCGAAGGCGGCUCACUGGCUCGAUACUGACGCUGAGGUGCGAAAGCGUGGGGAGCAAACAGG
rnacentral:rRNA from 1 species